ensembl:lncRNA
CAACGGUGUGGCUGUCUUAGUAAUUACCUUAAUGAGAUAACACCUUUCCUUCCCUCAACCUACUCAUUAUCACGCCUCUUGUUCAAAUUUCAGCUAUAAAGAUCUAUACUUAAAAAAAAAAAAAAGAAGAAAGAAAAAGAAAAAGAUGAUGUGGGGAGAAGUCUGAAAUUUGUUUGAGGUCUUGUCCCUUAAAACAAGGACCUUACACGGAUCACUGGCAUACAAAGAGAAACAUACACCCAUUCCAGGAAAGGCUGGUAGAAGUAACCAAACAUCUGGGGUACCCCUUAAUUAUUCUUGGUUGGCUCCUUUAGCUUGACCUGUAGGGAUGUGAGGGUGUCAAAGUGAUGAAUUUUAAGAUGUUGGGCUGUGAAGACGUGCAGCUGCAAGACUGAUGGAUUUAGGAAGGGGAUGGUAACAAGGUUAGCUGCAUGUGAAGUGUGAAUUGAGAUUUUUGCAAAGAGACUGUGAUUGCAGAUGGGCAUAAUGUUGUACCCUUGCAUGAAAUCUUGCUAUUAUUGUAUAAUGGUCAGACAGAGUGUGAAAUGACUUACUACUUUACUUUUACUCUUUAAUGAAGUUGGGUAGGGGAGGAGAACUACCAGGAAAUCGAUAGUGGUUGUGAGCGGAAACUCUAUGACAGGUGCUGAGACAUUAAAUAUUUAUUUAGCUUUUUGCUCCCUUCCUUCCCUUCUCCCCUCCCUGAUUUGUUUUGCUGUAUCAGAACGCAAACAAAAAUACAAGACAGGAUCUGGACAGAGAGGAAGAUGCUUUCUUUACCUCACUUUCUGCAGUACAUAAGAAACGGGUGUUGCUCUAUGCAAACUAACAGUCAGCUCUCUCCAUCCAGGCUGCAGACACACGCUUUCUAGAUAGGUGUUGAGCUGCUCAACAUGUAUCCCUCUUCUAGACCCUGCUGCCAGCAUGUGGUAAGUUGUAGCACACUGCUACGACCCCAUAUGAAUUGCAGCGGGCUCCUCUCCAGCUCAACGUCUCGUUCUUCGUUGUGCACCGAGCGGAGCUGCCCACAUGGUGCUUUUAUUCCAGGAGGAUGGAGCAAAAUAUCUGUACCUGCUCUUCUGUGCAGCGCUGUGCAGGUACCUUUGCAGACAUCUUGUCAGCAGUGUCACACGUGGCCAGGGCAGAACAGCUAUUAGCAGAAUUUAUGAUUCCGUUGUACAGCUGCACCAUUCUCUGUGAAUAUGUAGUGAGGAAAAGGAAAUGGAGCUGCUCCCUCUGGGUGCUGUCCUAAAAAAGAGGAUUCCCCAGCUGACUGAACCCAGGCACUGCUGAGGACGGUCUGACAAACGCUGGCCCUGCACCUGGGCUUAGCGAGCUGCCUUCCUCUCACCGAGCAGUUCAUCUCCCUGUUUGACACAUGUGGCAGAGGUGUAGCUUCUCGAAUGCCUUCUCAGCAGCACACAGCUCCAGAGCUCUUGGAUGGGGCCUCUGCCCCAGGGCCUCCCCCGGCACCUUUCCCCACAACAGGUGCAGCCCCUCCCUGGAGCUCUCAGCGAGGCUGUGCCCUGUGUUUGCCAUGGGGGUUGGCACUGUUACCUCCUCACCAGAAGUCGGGAAGAACAAGAAAGCUGGGGAAUAACUGCCUGACUGGUCUGUGUUAGCACACGGGACUUAACGAAGGCAGUACUGUGUGGAGCAGGGAACAUGUCUGAGACCAGUCUUUGACCUUACAGUUCAUCAGCUUUCAUUCUGGUGCUUGUGCCUCAGUGCUGAGUGAGUACAGAGUUAUGGAAGGGAGCCCCGCUGCUACAUAUUAACAUCCCGUCACAGGGUCCUCUUUCUCCUCUGGGUGAGGUAAAGGUCUCUGAGAUGUGCAUGGGUUUGUUUCAAGUGGUGUCCUGGCAAUUUGGGAAAGGAAAGCUGAGGAAGCAGCCCAUGGGGGGACUUGCCACCAGUAAACAGGCUGGGUACUGAGUUCGGGUACUGAGUUCAGCAGAGGGUACACUGAAAAACGAAAGCAGCUUCGUCUGCAGCGGUGCCUGGUCCAAUUCAGCUCUCUCACUGACAGAUGUGGGGUGGCUGGGUUGGCUUCUCCGGGCCCAGGACUUUAGGGUUGGGCCUGGGGUUGCUUCUGGAGAUGGGGAUAGGUUGCACCAGGGAGCUGUCUCACGCUGCGUGGACCUUGGAUGGGGCUGCAUGGCCCUCAGCAUGAGGUGUGAGUGGUGGCACCUGCUUGUAUAGGUCUUCUCUUAUUUUGGGUGUCAGAUGGCCACUGGAAGGGUCACUCUUGCUGACCGUUUGGGCCCCUCUCCUGGUGCAGAAAGCUGUGGGCUGGGUGAGGAACAGCAAAGCUUCCAUUUGUGAACAUCUUCCUCAGCAGCGGUAUGCGUAACAACAGCAGCAACGUGCUGCGCUAUCGCAGGACAAAAGGCCUAUGGAAAAAUAUGUGUGACAGGGAAGAGGAAGAAGUGGUGUGCUGCAAUGCAGCAGGAAGGCGUCUGUCCUGUGCCACUGCUCAUCGCAGUGGGUCUGAAGGUGUAGGUGUACUCAGUGAGUACUCCUGUUAGAAGGUGGUGGAGCAUUUGGCUUUGGUGCUGUUUCUUGCCGACGUUAAUGCACUGCAGGCUGGAACUUGGAAAGAACUUGGCAGAGUGAAGAGGAAAUGAAAAUGAUAAUUUUUCAUGUAAUAGAGAUCACAUAGAGAUUGCCUUUGUUGUUCACAGCAUUUCCAUUCCAGGAUGCUCGGAGAAUUAAAGCAUACAAAUAGAGAAAAUCUGCAAAGCGUUGUCAGGUAUUAUUUAUGUAUUAUUAUUUUUGUUGGAAGAGACAUGUAAAUAUAAAGAAUUAGAAAAAGGAGCUACUAAAAUAAAAUAUAAUGGAAACCACAAUAAAUCUAACAUGAGAAUAAAAGUAUAAUGAGAACACAUUUUCUUCAGCAUAAAUACAAAUCCUGUCUGCAUGCUAAAGCCCUAUUAAUUGGAUACUUACUAGAGGAAUAAAUCUUUAAAUGUGUAAAAAAAUCUUCCUGCUCUGUGAUGAAAUAUAAAUAUCACCAGAUUUAUUAAAGAAAAAAAUCUGCUAAACGACUCCUUCUCUUACAUACUAAUUUAUGCUUAUUCUACAUCUGAAAGAACUCACCCUGACGUGAACAUCAGCUAAACGAAGGGAGCUGCAGAAGGAGAAGGUUUAAUGUGGAUCACGAGAAGUCUCUUCGAUCAGGCACGGCAGGUUUCAAUGAAGUUUUAUGUUAUAAAAUAGAGGAAAGGUGAUAGUCUCUUAAGAGACAUAAUACUUAUCCCACGAGUGAUAUAAUAGUUCAUAAUUCACCAGAGAACAAGGCUCAAGUGAGUCAUAUAUAUUUUAUGGCACAAUUGGGAUUAAUACCGUACUUCAGAGAGGCAUGCAUAACCUGUUCUAUUUAUAUGGAGAGACGGUUUAAAAUUCACCCUCUUCUCACACCCUUUUCUCCUACCCUUUGGCACCAACUUAUGAGAGAGGGACUUGAAAAAAAAUGAGUGUGGACGUCAGGUGAAAAACAGACAUGGGAUCGAGGGAUGCUGCAGAGCCCUUUGUCAGGAGCUGCACUGAUGCUGCUGCGGCAAUCAGAAAAGUUGACCGUUCUCUGUGCUGUCUGCAGGGUGUGAUGGCCAU